rnacentral:lncRNA from 1 species
UUAAGAUAAAUUAUGACACUGGAAAAAUUCUUUUUCCUUUGUUAAGAAGAUAAAGUGCUUCCUGAAAAGUUUCUUGUAAAACAUUUGUCAGGUUUUCAUAACCAUUGUUUUAAAAAUGCUCUUAAUAUUUUUAUAAUAUGAGAAUUUGAUCUUAGCUAAAAAUGUAUCAUUCAUUGCACAUUUUCUCCUUAAAAUUAUUGUGCUUUAAUAACCAAUUAUAGGAUCAUAUUAAAGAACUUAUUGAUUUUUUCCUUUUUCCUAGUUAUAUGACUCUAAAGAAUCCCUACUCAAAAGACCCCCAUUACUUUUUAAUAGAAAAAAAUUAAAACAGCUAUGUAAUAAAAUAUACAUACUAAUAAUUCUUUUUAAAAAAUUACUCCUUAGCAUUUUAGGAGA